rnacentral:rRNA from 1 species
GCCGGGGGGGCAUGUGGUUUAAUUUGAAGCAACGCGCAGAACCUUACCAGCGUCUUACAUGGUUAGUAUGGUUUCCAGAGAUGGAUUCUUUCAGUUAGGGUGGCUAACACACAGGUGCUGCAUGGCUGUCGUCAGCUCGUGUCGUGAGAUGUUGGGUUAAGUCCCGCAACGAGCGCAACCCUCGUCAUUAGUUGCCAUCAUUCAGUUGGGCAUUUUAAGGGAACCGCCGGUGAUAAGCCGGAGGAAGGUGGGGAUGACGUCAAGUCCUCAUGGCCCUUACACGCUGGGCUACACACGUGCUACAAUGGCGGUGACAGUGGGCAGCCACCUCGCGAGAGGAGCUAAUCCCAAAAAGCCGUCUCAGUUCGGAUUGCUCUCUGCAACUCGAGAGCAUGAAGGCGAAUCGCUAGUA